CGCGGUAAUACUGGCAGAGCGAGUGGUAUCCACGAAUAUUGGGUCUAAAGAGUCCGUAGCUGGUCUGUUAAGUUCACUGUGAAAUCCGGCGGCUCAACCGCCGGGCGUGCAGUAAAUACUGGCAGGCUUGGGAGCGGGGGAGGUCAGGAGUACUUGCGGGGUAAGAGUAAAAUCUGUUGAUCCUGCAAGGACUACCAGUGGCGAAGGCGCCUGACCAAAACGCGUCCGACAGUGAGGGACGAAGGCUAGGAGAACGAAUCGGAUUAGAUACCCGAGUAGCCCUAGCAGUAAAUUAUGCAGACUGUGGUGUUGCGCCGACUUCGAGUCGGCGCAGUGCUGUAGCGUAGGUGUUAAGUCUGCCACCUGGGGAGUACGGCCGCAAGGUUGAAGCUUAAAGGAAUUGGCGGGGGAGCAC
rnacentral:rRNA from 1 species